AGAGAGAGACAUGCGUGCAUAUCAAUAAGCGGAGGAAAAGAAACUAACAAGGAUUCCCCUAGUAACGGCGAGUGAAGCGGGAAGAGCUCAAAUUUGAAAUCUUAAAGGGUUUCCCUUUACGAAUUGUAGUUUAAAGAAGUGCUUUUUCUGUUGAGGUUUUGGUAAAAGUUCUUUGGAAUAGGACAUCAUAGAGGGUGAGAAUCCCGUAUUUGACCUUUACUUUCAACUUUGUGAUACACUUUCAAAGAGUCGGAUUGUUUGGGAAUGCAGUCCAAAAUGGGUGGUAAAUUUCAUCUAAAGCUAAAUAUUGGCGAGAGACCGAUAGCGAACAAGUACCGUGAGGGAAAGAUGAAAAGAACUUUGAAAAGAGAGUUAAACAGUACGUGAAAUUGUCAAAAGGGAAGCGUUUGACACCAGUGUUGUUUUUCUGAAAAUCAAUUAAAGAACUGUUUAUGCUAAGCUGUUUAGACUUUAUCAGCUAAUCUGUUUAGUUUUGAGCUUUUCUUUAAUGCACUUUUCAGUUAACAAGUCAACAUCAAUUUCUUUUGCUGUAAAAAAGCUUGAGGAAGGUGGCUUGAGAUUCGUCUUAAGUGUUUAUAGCCUCUUGCCUAUGCAGUCGGAGAGAUUGAGGUCUGCAGCGUAGAUCCUUCGGGGCUAAAUGCAUUUGUGCUAAGUUAUAGCAUUUUAUAGACAACUUGUUGACUAUGAUUUGUCUUGUAGCUUACUCGCUUAUGUUAUUUUACCUACGCUUAGGAUGUUGAGCGCAUGUCUCUCUCU
rnacentral:rRNA from 1 species